GCCCAAUAUAUAUAUAGUAAUAUAUAUAGGGAAAGAGUGAUAGUGCAGAGUUGAGGAGGAAGAAGAAAGUGGAAGUGAUCGAUUACACAAACAAUGGCUGAUUUUGAGAUGCCCAGAGUUAGACUCGGAAUCCACGGAUUUGAGGCAUUAAAGGAUUUGCCUCGAGAAAAAGUUCAGUUAGCUACAAAAUUUGGAAUUGUCAAAAAUGGAACCUACUCAAGUUAUGGUGAAGGGUACUGUUGAAUAUGUGCGCUCCUGUUGUGAGGCUAGUUUGAAGCGCCUUAGUGUGGACUACAUUGAUCUCUACUACCUACAUUGGAUUUACACAUCAGGACCUAUAGAGGAGACUGGCAUUAUUUGUCUAUUCGGAAAUGGCAUCCAGAAUUUUGUCCCUCGAAGGCGUCUCACUAAACAAGUUCUCUUCAAGGGCUAUCAUUGCACAAGGUUUUAAAAAGAGGUUGCGGUGGUGCGGUUGUAGUUGUGGGUUGUAAAGGUCGUA